GCCAACGUGGCGCAGUGGUUUGAGUGCUGGACUACGAUUCUUGAGACCAGGGUUCAAUUCGCAGCUUGGCC